rnacentral:rRNA from 1 species
GAUGAACGCUGGCGGCGUGCCUAAUACAUGCAAGUCGAGCGAACGGACGAGAAGCUUGCUUCUCUGAUGUUAGCGGCGGACGGGUGAGUAACACGUGGAUAACCUACCUAUAAGACUGGGAUAACUUCGGGAAACCGGAGCUAAUACCGGAUAAUAUUUUGAACCGCAUGGUUCAAAAGUGAAAGACGGUCUUGCUGUCACUUAUAGAUGGAUCCGCGCUGCAUUAGCUAAUUGGUAAGGUAACGGCUUACCAAGGCAACGAUGCAUAGCCGACCUGAGAGGGUGAUCGGCCACACUGGAACUGAGACACGGUCCAGACUCCUACGGGAGGCAGCAGUAGGGAAUCUUCCGCAAAGGGCGAAAGCCUGACGGAGCAACGCCGCGUGAGUGAUGAAGGUCUUCGGAUCGUAAAACUCUGUUAUUAGGGAAGAACAUAUGUGUAAGUAACUGUGCACAUCUUGACGGUACCUAAUCAGAAAGCCACGGCUAACUACGUG